CCUACGGGCGGCAGCAGUGAGGAAUAUUGGUCAAUGGACGCAAGUCUGAACCAGCCAUGCCGCGUGCAGGAUGACGGCUCUAUGAGUUGUAAACUGCUUUUGUACGAGGGUAAACCCCGAUACGUGUAGCGUGUUGAAAGUAUCGUACGAAUACGGAUCGGCUAACUCCGUGCCAGCAGCAGCGGUAAUACGGAGGAUCCGAGCGUUAUCCGGAUUUAUUGGGUUUAAAGGGUGCGUAGGCGGUUUGAUAAGUUAGAGGUGAAAUGUCGGGGCUCAACCCCGAAACUGCCUCUAAUACUGUUGGACUAGAGAAUAGUUGCGGUAGGCGGAAUGUAUGGUGUAGCGGUGAAAUGCUUAGAGAUCAUACAGAACACCGAUUGCGAAGGCAGCUUACCAAACUAUAUCUGACGUUGAGGCACGAAAGCGUGGGUAGCAAACAGGAUUAGAUACCCGAGUAGUC
rnacentral:rRNA from 1 species